rnacentral:rRNA from 1 species
UCGGGAAUUUUGCCCAAUGGACGAAAGUCUGAGGCAGCAACUCCGCGUGAGGGACGAAGGCCUUCGGGUCGUAAACCUCUUUUCUCAGGGAAGAUACAAGACGGUACCUGAGGAAUAAGCCACGGCUAACUACGUGCCAGCAGCCGCGGUAAUACGUAGGUGGCGAGCGUUGUCCGGAUUUACUGGGCGUAAAGAGCGCGCAGGCGGCUGGUCAAGUCCGAUGUGAAAGCUCCCGGCUUAACUGGGAAAUUGCAUCGGAAACUGAUCGGCUGGAAGGUGGGAGAGGGUAGCGGAAUUCCCGGUGUAGUGGUGAAAUGCGUAGAUAUCGGGAGGAACACCAGUGGCGAAAGCGGCUACCUGGCCCAUUCUUGACGCUGAGGCGCGAAAGCUAGGGGAGCAAACGG